CACACUGGACUGAGACACGGUCCAGACUCCUACGGGAGGCAGCAGUGGGGAAUAUUGCACAAUGGGCGCAAGCCUGAUGCAGCCAUGCCGCGUGUGUGAAGAAGGCCUUCGGGUUGUAAAGCACUUUCAGUCGUGAGGAAGGCGGUGUCGUUAAUAGCGGCNUCGUUUGACGUUAGCUACAGAAGAAGCACCGGCUAACUCCGUGCCAGCAGCCGCGGUAAUACGGAGGGUGCGAGCGUUAAUCGGAAUUACUGGGCGUAAAGCGCAUGCAGGUGGUUUGUUAAGUCAGAUGUGAAAGCCCGGGGCUCAACCUCGGAAUAGCAUUUGAAACUGGCAGACUAGAGUACUGUAGAGGGGGGUAGAAUUUCAGGUGUAGCGGUGAAAUGCGUAGAGAUCUGAAGGAAUACCGGUGGCGAAGGCGGCCCCCUGGACAGAUACUGACACUCAGAUGCGAAAGCGUGGGGAGCAAACAGGAUUAGAUACCCUGGUAGUCCACGCCGUAAACGAUGUCUACUUGGAGGUUGUGGCCUUGAGCCGUGGCUUUCGGAGCUAACGCGUUAAGUAGACCGCCUGGGGAGUACGGUCGCAAGAUUAAAACUCAAAUGAAUUGACGGGGGCCCGCACAAGCGGUGGAGCAUGUGGUUUAAUUCGAUGCAACGCGAAGAACCUUACCUACUCUUGACAUCCAGAGAACUUUCCAGAGAUGGAUUGGUGCCUUCGGGAACUCUGAGACAGGUGCUGCAUGGCUGUCGUCAGCUCG
rnacentral:rRNA from 1 species